UAUUUGAUCUUUUUAAAAUUUGAACAGCUUAUUUGGAUCCCGAAACACUUUAAUGAUCUCAAAACACUUUAAUAACUUAUAUGACUAUUGACCUAUACUUUAAGGACCAAAAUAGGCCUUGUGACUAAAAAAAUAAUUUUUAAUAAGCUCUAAUGUAUUUAAGAUAGUGUUUUUCUCAACAUCAACUCAAACAAUAAUGCCAAAAGGGCCAUAAUCUCUCGUGCCUAGUGCAAUCCCAUGAAUGAGUGGACUAAAAUCCUACAAGAUGGAUGCAUGAAUGCCACAUUGGAUUUCUAUUCACUACCAUUUCGAAGCUAACUUCUUUCAAGGAGUAGGCAAUACACAGGUAUAGAAUGAAUAGGCUCUUCUCGUUCCUUUCUUUGAGUAUGUGGCAGAUAUCAGUUAUGGGCACCUAAACUAUACUUAGUGGCAUUGGAAAGGCAAUGUCAAACAUUUUUUAUUUUUUCUAUGCAUAAAGGAAAGCGGUUAGGAAUCAAGCUAGGUGCUCUGAUUUGGUGAUCUCUAUAACAGUAGUAGAAAGGUGGUCUUGAACAAAUCAGAAUAGAUUCAAAUUUAGCAGUCAAGCUUCAAUACUAAAUUGAGUUACUAACAAUAGGAUUUCAUUUCCCUAAUUAAAUAAAUCUGGUUCAUUUUGCUUCACUUUAAAACUACAACUUUUCCUUACAAUUGACAAGGAUAAACUUUAUGCUUUGUUUGGAUGGGGUGAGGAGAAAGGUAAGGAACGCUCAUUAAAAUAGAGGGAGGAAAGGGUAAGGGAAGUGAAGUAAAAAAUUUAAUCUCCUCUUUUUUGCGACCAAGUGUGGGAAUGGAGGAAAAGUAAAGUGCUG
rnacentral:misc_RNA from 1 species